GCUUACGGCCAUACCAGCCUGGGUACGCCUGAUCUCGUCUGAUCUCGGAAGCUAAGCAGUGUCGGGCCUGGUUAGUACUUGGAUGGGAGACCGCCUUGGAAUACCAGGUGCUGUAAGCA
rnacentral:rRNA from 1 species